CCUACGGGUGGCAGCAGUGGGGAAUAUUGGACAAUGGGCGCAAGCCUGAUCCAGCAAUGCCGCGUGUGUGAAGAAGGCCUGCGGGUUGUAAAGCACUUUAAGCAGGAAAGAAGGGGUGGAAGUUAAUACCUUUCAUCAUUGACGUUACCUGCAGAAUAAGCACCGGCUAACUCCGUGCCAGCUGCCGCGGUAAUACGGAGGGUGCAAGCGUUGCUCGGAAUGAGUGGACGUAAGGCGCUCAGUGCGGGUUGAAAGCCCCGGGCUUAACCUGGGAACUGCGGUGGAUACUGUCGAGCUAGAGUGUGGUAGAGGGGAGUGGAAUUUCCGGUGUAGCAGUGAAAUGCGUAGAGAUCGGAAGGAACACCAGUGGCGAAGGCGGCUCCCUGGACUAACACUGACGCUGAGGUGCGAAAGCGUGGGGAGCAAACAGGAUUAGAUACCCCGGUAGUC
rnacentral:rRNA from 1 species